rnacentral:rRNA from 1 species
UUAUGGCUCAGGAUGAACGCUAGCGACAGGCUUAACACAUGCAAGUCGAGGGGCAUCACGGGAGUAGCAAUACAACGUGGUGGCGACCGGCGCACGGGUGAGUAACGCGUAUGCAACCUACCUAUCAGAGGGGAAUAACCGGCGAAAGUCGGAUUAAUACCGCAUAAAACAGGGGCACCGCAUGGUGAUAUUUGUUAAAGAAAUUCGCUGAUAGAUGGGCAUGCGUUCCAUUAGGUAGUUGGUGAGGUAACGGCUCACCAAGCCGACGAUGGAUAGGGGAACUGAGAGGUUGGUCCCCCACACUGGUACUGAGACACGGACCAGACUCCUACGGGAGGCAGCAGUGAGGAAUAUUGGUCAAUGGGCGGGAGCCUGAACCAGCCAAGUCGCGUGAAGGAAGAAGGAUCUAUGGUUCGUAAACUUCUUUUGCAGGGGAAUAAAGUGCAGGACGUGUCCUGUUUUGUAUGUACCCUGAGAAUAAGGAUCGGCUAACUCCGUGCCAGCCGCGGC